rnacentral:rRNA from 1 species
AAAUUGAAGAGUUUGAUCAUGGCUCAGAUUGAACGCUGGCGGCAGGCCUAACACAUGCAAGUCGAGCGGUAGCACAGAGAGCUUGCUCUCGGGUGACGAGCGGCGGACGGGUGAGUAAUGUCUGGGAAACUGCCUGAUGGAGGGGGAUAACUACUGGAAACGGUAGCUAAUACCGCAUAAUGUCGCAAGACCAAAGUGGGGGACCUUCGGGCCUCAUGCCAUCAGAUGUGCCCAGAUGGGAUUAGCUAGUAGGUGGGGUAACGGCUCACCUAGGCGACGAUCCCUAGCUGGUCUGAGAGGAUGACCAGCCACACUGGAACUGAGACACGGUCCAGACUCCUACGGGAGGCAGCAGUGGGGAAUAUUGCACAAUGGGCGCAAGCCUGAUGCAGCCAUGCCGCGUGUGUGAAGAAGGCCUUCGGGUUGUAAAGCACUUUCAGCGGGGAGGAAGGCGAUAAGGUUAAUAACCUUGUCGAUUGACGUUACCCGCAGAAGAAGCACCGGCUAACUCCGUGCCAGCAGCCGCGGUAAUACGGAGGGUGCAAGCGUUAAUCGGAAUUACUGGGCGUAAAGCGCACGCAGGCGGUCUGUCAAGUCGGAUGUGAAAUCCCCGGGCUCAACCUGGGAACUGCAUUCGAAACUGGCAGGCUAGAGUCUUGUAGAGGGGGGUAGAAUUCCAGGUGUAGCGGUGAAAUGCGUAGAGAUCUGGAGGAAUACCGGUGGCGAAGGCGGCCCCCUGGACAAAGACUGACGCUCAGGUGCGAAAGCGUGGGGAGCAAACAGGAUUAGAUACCCUGGUAGUCCACGCCGUAAACGAUGUCGAUUUGGAGGUUGUGCCCUUGAGGCGUGGCUUCCGGAGCUAACGCGUUAAAUCGACCGCCUGGGGAGUACGGCCGCAAGGUUAAAACUCAAAUGAAUUGACGGGGGCCCGCACAAGCGGUGGAGCAUGUGGUUUAAUUCGAUGCAACGCGAAGAACCUUACCUGGUCUUGACAUCCAC